rnacentral:rRNA from 1 species
CCUACGGGUGGCAGCAGUGAGGAAUAUUGGUCAAUGGACGAGAGUCUGAACCAGCCAAGUAGCGUGAAGGAUGACUGCCCUAUGGGUUGUAAACUUCUUUUAUAUGGGAAUAAAAUGUUCCACGUGUGGGAUUUUGUAUGUACCAUAUGAAUAAGGAUCGGCUAACUCCGUGCCAGCAGCCGCGGUAAUCCGGAGGAUCCGAGCGUUAUCCGGAUUUAUUGGGUUUAAAGGGAGCGUAGGUGGAUUGUUAAGUCAGUUGUGAAAGUUUGCGGCUCAACCGUAAAAUUGCAGUUGAAACUGGCAGUCUUGAGUACAGUAGAGGUGGGCGGAAUUCGUGGUGUGGCGGUGAAAUGCUUAGAUAUCACGAAGAACUACGAUUGCGAAGGCAGUUCACUGGACUGCAACUGACACUGAGGCUCGAAAGUGUGGGUAUCAAACAGGAUUAGAUACCCGAGUAGUC